rnacentral:rRNA from 1 species
CACGCAGGCGGUCCCGAAAGUCGAAUGUGAAAGCUCCCGGCCCAACUGGGAGAGGCCGUUCGAAACUUCGGGACUUGAAGGCGGGAGAGGCAGAUGGAAUUUCCGGUGUAGCGGUAAAAUGCGUAGAUACCGGAAGGAACACCAGUGGCGAAAGCGAUCUGCUGGCCCGCCCUUGACGCUCAGGUGCGAAAGCUAGGGGAGCGACCGGGAUUAGAUACCCCGUUAGUCCUAGCCGUAAACAAUGGGCACUAGGUGUUGUCGGUAUCGACCCCGGCAGUGCCGAAGCUAACGCAUUAAGUGCCCCGCCUGGGGAGUACGACCGCAAGGUUAAA